UACGGAGGGGGCAAGCGUUGUCCGGACUUACUGGGCGUAAAGGGCUUGUAGGUGGCCAACUAAGUCAGACGUGAAAUCCCUCGGCUUAACCGGGGAACUGCGUCUGAUACUGGAUGGCUAGAGUUUGGGAGAGGGAUGCGGAAUUCCAGGUGUAGCGGUGAAAUGCGUAGAUAUCUGGAGGAACACCGGUGGCGAAGGCGGCAUCCUGGACCAAUACUGACACUGAAAAGCGAAAGCCAGGGGAGCAAACGGG
rnacentral:rRNA from 1 species